GGGUUACAUGAAGAAAAACAGUAUGGUAUGAAAUAAUAGUAUAUAGUACACCAGGGUGUGUAAGCUUUGUAUUGUCCAGAGUAUUAUCACUAUUUUAACCCCAUUUUAGACCUUUUAUUUGAAAUAGUUUGCCAAAUUCUUUUAUUUCUGCAGUCCCUCUCCAGAACUGCUGGAUGCCAAGCAAGUACAAAUAUCACAUGUUAAGCUGUUGUUCUUAUCUGUCACUGCUAUAACCAAUAAAAAGGUCAAAUUGCUGCAGAAGUCACCCAACACUUCCUUCUGUUACAGCUUUCCAAAUAGUUGGUUUAAAAGAGAAACAAUGUAGAGAUGAAUGAAGCACACUUCAAGGAAAGAUAAAGAGAUUGGAGAUGCAGAAAAUUUGAACACUUGUUUUCACAGAAAAUAUGUCUGGAACGUUUAUUUGAAGCUUUUCUACAAAAGCCUCAUCUGUAGAAAAAGGAGAUUAAUUUAAUUUUUAGGUGAAAAUAAGGCUAUAGUUUGUAACAAGGACAGCACGGUUGCUCUUGGUAUUUGGCACAAAAACCUCACCCACAGAACCCUGUCUGAAAGGAACUCCAGUUAUUUAUUGCUCUUUAUUGCCUUCCCACUUUCUUCAUUGCUGGCCUUCACUCAGACCUCCUGUAAACAUACAGGCAUACCACUGGACUUGUGGAUAUUGUAUUAGAACAACCCUAUGAUCUCCUCUGAUUCCAUCACAGUACGUCAUCUAAAAAGCUAUAAAGCAAGUGAUGUUUACAAGGCUACAAAAUAAAGUGGCCAUGGACAAACCCUUGCAUCUCUUCUCUCUUCAUAAAGCAUUCAGUUAAAUUCUGCCACCAAUUCUGUCAGAACCUCCGCACUGUCUUGGUUUGAUAUGCAUGAAGAACAACUGAAAAAUGAGAGUAGAAAUUCUAAAAAUACAAAGUAAAUUGAAGAAUAGUAGAAAGUAGAAAGGAAAUAGAGAAAUGAU
rnacentral:lncRNA from 1 species